rnacentral:pre_miRNA from 1 species
UUAGGUUUUCUUCAUUUUCUUCUGAAAUUUUUGUUGUUGAAGGUUGAUGGAAAUGAUAUGAAGAUGAAGAAGAGGGGAAG